rnacentral:misc_RNA from 1 species
GAACGAUUGGGGCAAAAGCAUUAUAAUUUGAGGGAUUUGUCCUACAUAAAAUACACUACAUUUAAAACUGAAUGGACUAGAAAAGAUUGUAAUACACUCCAGACGCUAAUAGGAUUACAGCAGGCUGUACAGACAAAGGACUACCAUGUUCCUGGAAUAAACAUGCGAGGAUCCUUCAUCAAUAUGAUAUUUCUAAAUCCUUAAAGCUUCUACAAUUUACAAAAAGUAAAGUGCAAACACAAUAACCACAUAUCAAGGAGAGACUUCCUGCGCAAGAUAGUUGAAAUUGACGGCAUACAUCAUUCUUUCCACUUCCUGAUCUGAAGCUCCCUACAUAUUAUGCAAAAAUUGUGGGAGGGAAGCAAUCCUUGGCAGAUUAAGCAGUAGGUCCCCAACUGAAUCCUUCCUUGACAUGGUUGGUGCCUGCUUGCAGCUGGAAACACUAUUGGACUGGUCGUCAGGCACUGGAAAACUCUCAACAAAUUUAUCCUGGCAGACUGUUGUGCUGAUGGAUUUAGUUUCACCUCUUCUCACUUUACUAUCUACUUCAAGAUCAAUGCAACUUUUAGCCUGCAAAUUCCGUGCUGAUCCAGGAUCUCUCUGCAGCAGACAGCAAAGAGAAUUGACCCUUGACAUGAGGCGCUGCUCGUCUGAUGCUGAUGUAAGUUGAGAGUCGCUAAGCAAAUAUUGAGUAAUCUCCUCCAGAAUGUCACUGUUCUUCAGGUCGCCAUUUGAAAUAGUAGGAUUUCCAGAUGUCAUCUGUUCUGAGAUGCAUUGUCCAAGGUGGUUAACUAGGUCGCUCAUUGACAUGGAUGGCUGAAGUCCAGGCACCUUAAUUUGAUCCCAAUGGCUUGGUAUUUGCCUUCCUCUUUUCAAACUCCUUAUUUUUUCAGCUGCAUCGUUAUCCAUCACUGCAAAUAAUAGAUUAGUUAGACCAGCAAGGAGGUAUGUACCAUAUACAAAUAAUUUCACUAGAAGAAUAAGAACUAUCUUCAAAAAAAUUAGAUGCAUGUUGACUUGGAAUAAUAUUACCAUUGCAGGAUACACAUAAAAAAUAGAGCUUUCUUACAGUCAACAAAGCCACAAUCAUUUUGGUAACUAUAACCAUGAAUUUUUUACUGCAUCACACAGUUGCAAGAAUCAAAUGAAAAUCAGAGCAGAAGGCCACUUCAGUAUGCAGGUUCAUAGACAUAUUUUUGAUGCACAAACAUCAAAUAUACUCCCUUGCCAUCAUCCGGUUAUGACUAAGUAGUAGAGUAGCUAGUGAGAUGUUGACUGAAGGAAUGAGCUCUGUGUGGUGUGUGUGACUUUCGGAGUUGGUGUGUUUUACAGGGAAUAAGUCCAUCAGUUGUAACUACCCUCCUCGGUCAGUUGUAACUGUAGAAAGCACUUAAUAGGAACUCACCUGUAAAAAGGAAACUAUCCAAGAUCAUAAUGAUUAAAGAUGUCUCUUUCCUCUCUUCUACCAUCUGGCUCUUCUCUAUAAUUCUCUCUCAUUUCUCCAAUUUCUAUUUCUUUUCUAAACAAGUCCCUUUUUAUUCCUUUCUCUGCCUAAUUCUCUGUUUCGGAAGGCCGUACCAGAUCAUAACACAUCCCUACACAGAUGGUAUGGCCUACUAACCUACUUGAUCACAUAACAUGUUUGCUCUCCCAUCCUGAUAGACAAUUCUUUGACUUGAAUCAAUUGUAAACAGAUGCAUGCUUAAUGGAAGCUAGGCUUACCGAAUGUUUCAACCGCAUAGUUACAUGCUUUCAUUAGCAUCAUAAUAUUUCGUUUAGUUUCCAAAUGAUUCCUGGGAAAACCAGAGAGUUUUGCAAAGAGCAGUUCACUAAUUUGAUAAAUGGAAUUACUCGACCUCAGGGAGAACUUCCAAGAUAUAUCCAGUGCUCAAGGUUCUUGGAGCCAUGCAUAAUAAUGUCAUAUGAAGUUCCUACAUUGUCCAGCAUAAAAUACCACUAACCCUCACAACCAAGUACUGAUACAAUCAAGCGGAGGAAAAUUCUCUAAUAUGCACACUAAAGAUAGAUAUAAGUCCAAGAUCCAAAAAUAAGUGCAUUAAGGUGCUCCAAAUGUUGAUCAAACACCAGUCAGCAGAGUGCAAUGUUUGAUAAGUCAAUCAAUAACAAAAUUUUUUGGUUUUCCCAUUUAUAUAAAUUAAAAUUCACAAACCAAAAAAAGUUGAGGUAAACAUCAAUUCCAUCUCAAUGAAUUAGAAGUCUACUUACUCAGCUAAACUGUAAACCAACUAGAAAAGGUGUGGAAGGAAAAGAAUAAUGAGUUAUUCAUGAAAAAUAAAUAUAACAAGAUUAGAAAAUAACUGGGGCAGCUUCAAUGCUAUUCAGAACCUUUGUCAAAACAAGAUUGCCAGUCUUAGCUGCAAUUAUCAAGUACUUUCAGAUUUGUAGUAUUACAGGCAUGCAUUCAGAAAAUUUUCUAUGAAUUAAGCCACUAACAAUGCCCAGAGUCUAUUCUGAACUAAUUUCCAUUUUCUGAUCAAGGUUGUGAGGUAACUCCCGUUUCCUGAUUCUUACGAUCAUAGUUGUCACAAAGAAUCAGUUAGAGGUAACUGUUGACUGUUCAUUCAAAUUACUAAUGGACGCAUCUGCCGCUGCCGGUAGUUGCAAUAAUAUGCAAACAACAAUUCAACUAUAUCGCUACAGAGAGUUCAUGUCAAGGGUAUGCAGAUCAAUGAUUAGAGAUGCAGCACUGAUCUUAGAAGAUUUAGUAUCUAAUUACCUACAGCAAGAGAGAGGCCAAUAUAUUUAUUAAUUAUCACUAUUUUCAUCCAUGUUUUCAUUUUUAAGAUCAUAUUUCUUCAGCAAAACGCGGUAGAUAGCUUUCACUAAUAAGAGAUGGGUUUUACCUGUGCUAGGCGAAGAAGUUUCCUGAGAAGAACUUUCGGGAGUCCUGCCAAUGAAAACUUGCUGCUCAUCAUUCAAGGAAGAAGAAAGGACUCCAGAAGGUGAUGCUGCAUCCCCUAAAGCAAACACAGCACGUGUCUCCUCAGCCUUUGAAUCAAGCACCUCAGUCGUUUCAUUCAAGUCACCAAAUGUACAAUGCCUUUGUUCGAAAUAUGGAGUUUCCAACAAAAUUUCAGGUUGUUGACUUAGAAAGUUGAGACGAGGAUCACACUGAAUAAGUUUUUCGAAAUGCUUGCUUAAGAACCCUUGUUGGCACUGCAGAAAAUGACG